CCUCUGAGCAGGAUGGAAAGCAGCCGUGAUCUGCCCACUUUACUGAUGGAGAAACCAAGGCACCAAGAGCAGACACAGCGCCGCAUGCUUCUGCCACCGUACCUUCCCCACCGUGACAGACUGUGUGCACUUAAACUGUGAGCCAGAAUAAGCCCUUCCAUCUUCAAGCUGCCUCAAGCCAAACAGGCAAAAAAACCAAUAAAGUUCCUGGGAGACAUCCAUGGCCCUGUCUUAGCCACACACCCUCCAUUGCCUUUCUCCUCUGGCUACCACAAAGCUGGAGGUGGUAGGAGACACCCAUGGAGCUCUUCUGGGCACUGGAACUCAGUGAGUUGCUCGAAGAGCCACUCUGGGAGCAUGGUGCACCUCAAGGAGGGAGCACUCUCCCCACAAGGAGCUUGAAGGUCAAAUAACAGCAUUUAAAGGACUCACAGAAGAGCCAGAUGCACAUUUCCCUGGAUCCUUCCUCCCAAAAUGUCAUCAGGAAUAUCAAAACACCACCUCUGCAGCCAGCUGGAUAAAGGCAAGCCUCUGCCUCAGAGACUCUAAAACAAAGGUCAGUUGCUCAGCUGCAUGGCACAGGGCUUGCGGGUGCUGGGAUCUGGCUGGCUGAAACACAUCAUACAGGCCCUCUUCAUCUGCCCUCCCUGCCCAGUCUAAGAAACCCCUUAGACUGAGCAAAGAACUCGACUGCCCAAUACCCUGUGGCUCCAAAACAUGGUAACAUUUGAAUGGGGUCUAAGAAAUGUCCUGGAAGGAACACGGGUUCUGCCACAUGAUAUCUAGCUUGAGUGUAGAGCCUUAUAAUCUUGGGCAAUGAAGCUACUAAGACUCAAUUUAUCAUUUGUGAGCCAGGGAUAAAAAUACAGGCUUUGAAUAUGCAAUGAAUAAUGAAUCUUUGCUUUUAUAUAGCUGUGUGUGCAUAUAUAUAUGUAUGUGUAUAUAUAUGUAUAUAUAUAAUUUCUAUAUAACACACACAUAUAUAGCAUGCAUAAAUAUACAAACUAAAUAUAUAUAGAGAAUGCUUAUAAAGAGUAUAAGCAUAUGUUGUCUUCAUAUUAUAUAUAUAUAUAUAUAUAUAUUGCAUAUGUUCUUGAAAUCAUAUUCAUGUACCUAUUUAUUUUUGCCUGUAUCCACUAGAAUGUGAGCCCUCAGAAAGCAGAGACACCUCUGCUGUGCCCAUCAUGGCACCCUGAGUCCAGUCCUUGGAAGUCUUUAUCCCCUUGGCAUCCCCCAUGAGCAGAUAACUGCAGAGAACGUCAUUCCUGAUACAGAAAGUGGGAACACGGCUUAGAGCAAGGCUGAAUACUGAGAACUGCUUUUGCUCUGGGACCUAAGUCCUUGACACUAGGAGUCCUGGAAGAAUCAGGCAAGCUUUUGAUGGCAUAGUGUUAACAUCAGCCAUUGCACUGGGCACUUCAUUGGUAUCAGGAGCUGAAGUGUCACCCACUCCUCCCCAAACUCCUGGGGAUAGGAAGGAUUGGCUGUAGCUCACAAAAGGACCACUGAGGGAGUGACAGAAGGACCCUCAUACCCGAGGGCCACAGCUCCAUGAGGACUGGUGCUAAGCAAGGUCAGUGCUCACAGGGGACAGAACCUUUCUUCUAGGUGACAGUCUCCAGCCCACCCAAAAGAUGAGUAAGACCCAGCUCAUCUUGGCAGCAGCAAGCCCUGGGCCCGGGACACUGAGAUGCUCCCUCGGAAUCUUCGGGGUGGGAAGACUCUCCAGAAGCUCAGGACUCUGCAGUUCUCCCCAGGACUGUGCUGCACUGGCUCAGAAUUCCUGCAUCUGAUGUGUGCAUCUGGCCUCACAGUUGAGUAGCACCCCCGCCCCACCCCUUGAAGACUUCCUCACUUCCUUUUCCUUAGCAUCAGCGAUGGCCAGAGUGCAGAGACACUCUGGGAGUCCCUGCUGCCCUCCUUCCUGUGGCUGAUGCCCAAAGGAGAGCUGAGAGUCUACCUGGCGCCCUUCCCAGCGGCUAGUCCAGUGGACUUCAGCAGCAAUAUUUCAUGCCUUCUCUCUGCAGACUCUCACCACAGAGCUGAUCUGUGCAAGCACAGCUUCCCACCUACCCCAUGAGAACCCUGGGGUGCCAGGGACAUAGACUGAGGUGACCCCAUUCUUUUUGGCCUUUGCUGUUAAGUUUAAACGUCAUUAAAGAUUCUGCAAGCACGCUUGAUCUCAGGACUCAGCCCUGGAUCCUCCUCAAUUCUGCGACACCUUUUUCUGUAUUUGCCAAGGUUCUCUCCCUUGUACUUCUUGGCCUCAAGGUGACCUACUGACCUCAUGAAUCGUCUUUUACAACUCCACUGCAAGCUGCAAGAAGCGCUGCUGCCUUUCCCAUCCCUCCCUGGCUUCAUUACACACAACACUCUCUAAGAGAGAAAAUUAAAUAUUUGCUUGUCA